rnacentral:rRNA from 1 species
GACGAACGCUGGCGGCGCGCCUAACACAUGCAAGUCGAACGAGAGAGAGAGAGCUUGCUUUCUCAAGCGAGUGGCGAACGGGUGAGUAACGCGUGAGAAACCUGCCUCAAAGAGGGGGAAAACAGUUGGAAACGACUGCUACUACCGCAUAAGCCCACAGGUCGGGCUCGACCAGAGGGAAAAGGAGCAAUCGGCUUUGAGAUGGCCUCGCGUCCGAUUCGCGAGUUGGGGUGGUAACGGCCGACCAAGGCGACGAACGGUAGCCGGACUGAGAGGUUGAACGGCCACAGUGGGACUGAGGCACGGCCCAGACUCCUACGGGAGGCAGCAGUGGGGAAUAUUGCACAAGGGGGGAAACGCUGAUGCAGCGACGCCGCGGGGAGGAAGAAGGUCUUCGGAUUGUAAACGCCUGUUGGUGAGGAAGAUAAUGACGGUACUCAACAAGGAAGUGACGGCUAACUACGUG